GAGCAAGGGCGUUGAAAAUGGCGUGAUUUGCAUUGAAGGUUGGCAAUAUAAAUGGCAAUUCUCCGUGCCUAUCAUAUUGCUUAAUUUCAUUUUGAUUAUGGCCUCGAACAAGUUGCUACAAU
rnacentral:snoRNA from 1 species